rnacentral:lncRNA from 1 species
AUAUAAUUUAGGUCAAAUAUUUUUCCUUAAAGCGACGUACAAUUUAGGACGGAGGGAGUACUUCAACCAAAAUGUUUUUUUUUUUUUUUUUAAGCAACCAAAGUGUUAUCUUGCAUCAGUGUUGAAUAUAUAUAUAUUCCAUUUUAUUUUACCCCACGUGGAUAUUCCCGAACAUUAUCCUUAACUCCCUUUUCAAAAGAAAAAACAUUAGUAUUACAUUAUUAUAUAUAAAAGACUAGAAGAAAAAACUAAACCUGCCGCCAUUGACUUUAUCAACAAAAAAAAAAAAAACCUGCCACCAUUUUACUAGUUGUUUAGUUCUUCACUUCUUCUUCACAAGCAUAUAGUGCUAUUGAAAUAACCACAAAAAUAUCAAUCCCACAAUACAAAAAUAUUCAAGAAAAAUAAAUUGAUUAAAAUGGAGUCUAAUCCUCAUCAUACCCAACAAAAACCACAUGCUGUAUUUGUACCAUUUCCAGCACAAGGUCAUGUGAACCCAAUGAUGCAACUAGCCAAACUCUUCCGUUGCAAAGGUUUCCAUAUAACCUUUGUGAACACUGAAUUCAACCACAAACGUUUGAUAAAAUCUCUUGGAGCUGAGUUUGUGAAGGGUCUACCAGAUUUUCAAUUUGAGAC